GGGGCUGUAGCUCAGUUGGGAGAGCGCGUCAAUGGCAUUGAUGAGGUCAGGGGUUCGAAUCCCCUCAGCUCCACCA
rnacentral:tRNA from 1 species